rnacentral:rRNA from 1 species
CCGUGAUGAACUAACCGUCUGUCGCUGGGAAGAAGCUUAACUUGGGGGAAACUGCCACGAAAAUAAAACUUUAACUUAAUUAUGCCUUUCUUUAAUAAUAACAAUUAUUUUAGAAAAUUAAAUUAUUUAAUUUUUGGUUAGAAAAGAAUUACAUAUUCUUGUAUUUAGUAUAAGAAGUAGUAAUAAAGAAUUAGAAUAAAUUAUUGUCAAGUAUUAUAUUAUGUUAUUGUAGUACUUUCCAUUUAAGUCAAGAUCUCUAUAAAAGUCCUAGCAAGGUAGAUUGUACUGGAA